AAAAAAAUAAGGAGCAUUAAUUAAAUUUCUGACUGAACUCCUUGGCGGAGAAUUGUAUGUCCCCUGCUCUGUUUUACCUACAUUCUGCCAUAUAUUUCCUGUUCUAGCAGUCUCAGAUUAUGACCCAGCAUGUUUUUCAUUUUAAGAACACUCAUUGCCGAUUUGACAAAACACAAAGAAGGUACCAGUGUGAGAUUUCUAAAGGUAGCUACAGCACUCGACUCAAGGUUUCAGAAUCUGAAGUGC